AUCAAAUGUUUUUUCACGUGAGCUACUCCAAAAACCAACACGAUAACUUUACGUGCUUUUCCUUUGACUCUCACAUGCUUUUCAUUUCAAAUGAACGUGAAAUUCAUUCAGCUCCAGCUGAUCAUUGGCAAACAAGCAUUCACUCAUUUUGUGCAUGGUGUUCACGUGAGACUCAAAUGAAUUUCACUUGAAUUUGCCCCAAUCGGCUUGUCCUUUGGUUUUGAAGUGUAAGUCACGUGAGAUUCAAAUGAAUUUAAUUUUGAUUUGCUCCAAUCGACUUGUUCUUUCAUUUCCAAGUGAAAUUCACGUUAGUUUCAAAUGCUAUCGAUGACGAAAAUUAAUCCCAAAGCAAGAUGGCCUGUUUCAUAAAGUCCGAGCUAGAGCUCGCGUUCUUAAUUACGAUUUCUUCCUUAAAAAAAGUGGAUUUGAAUGUAUAAAAUACUGCUGGAUUAUUUUUAAUAAUAUGGUAAUCACGGAUAGGAUAAUUUCCGGCGAAACCUAGGGAUUCCCAUGGAAGAGGACUUUCGAAGACCCCCGUCCAGGCUUGUUCCGGUGUGAGAGAGAUCCGCUGAUCGUCCAGAAUCUUUUUUUAAGUGUGAAUCGUUCUCUAAAAAGUGAAGUUUUUGAUUAACGCCUAAACUCCCAAGCUCGAGAAAAGGGGGGGGAAUUUCCAUACAAAUUCCCCCUAUUUCUUGAGCUUGGGAGUGCAGGUGUUGAUCAUGCAAAAGUGUUUGUUAAAUGUUGUUUAUGUUACAUAAAUAAAGGCAAAAAUCUAAAAGA